rnacentral:lncRNA from 1 species
UAAUCCAUUCAUAUACUGAGCUCUUUUUAUAAGAAUAAUUCCUUGAAUAAAGAUUAAUAUUAGAUGAUUUAAUUUCCAAUGAUAUCACCUUCAACUAAAUUAAUUAGUAACAUGAGGGAAUUUAAUCUGACAUCACUAUCAUAAUGUUCUUGCUCUCCACAGCUACUUAAAAGAGAAAAUGGACAUGACAAGUAAUAAUUAGAAGCAUAUUUAUAACUAUUAAUUAAUUAGGG